rnacentral:rRNA from 1 species
GGAUUAGAUACCCCUGUAGUCCCGGCCGUAAACGAUGCGGGCUAGCUGUCGGCUGGGCUUAGGGCCCGGCCGGUGGCGAAGGGAAACCGUUAAGCCCGCCGCCUGGGGAGUACGGCCGCAAGGCUGAAACUUAAAGGAAUUGGCGGGGGGGCACCACAAGGGGUGAAGCUUGCGGCUUAAUUGGAGUCAACGCCGGAAACCUCACCCGGGGCGACAGCAGGAUGAAGGCCAGGCUAACGACCUUGCCGGACGAGCUGAGAGGAGGUGCAUGGCCGUCGUCAGCUCGUGCCGUGAGGUGUCCGGUUAAGUCCGGCAACGAGCGAGACCCCCACCCCUAGUUGCUUUCCCGCCCUUCGGGGCGGGAGGCACACUAGGGGGACUGCCGGCGUAAGCCGGAGGAAGGAGGGGGCCACGGCAGGUCAGUAUGCCCCGAAACCCCGGGGCUGCACGCGAGCUGCAAUGGCGGGGACAGCGGGACCCGACCCCGAAAGGGGGAGGCAAUCCCGUAAACCCCGCCCCACUCCGGAUCGAGGGCUGCAACUCGCCCUCGUGAACGUGGAAUCCCUAGUAACCGCGUGUCACCACGCGCGGUGAUA